AAUCUCUCCUUCCACUGCCAGACAAAUAUCAUGGUCUAACUGAUAUUAAUAAACGUUACCGCCAACGGUAUGUUGAUAUGAUUGCUAAUCCUGAAGUGGCUGAUGUGUUCCGGAGAAGGGCAAAAAUCGUUUCAGAGAUA